CUUUGUACAUAUACAAGAGAAACAAAGGAAAGAAAAACACUGGGGAGAAUAGUAGUGGGAGCAAAACAGAAGAAGAGAAAAAUGAUGAGGUUCAUCAAUAAUUUAGAAGCUCUAUCACAUUGAGAUUGUGGGGAAAUCAAGAAUACAUCCCACUUAUCAUUGUGUUAUUAUACGGUUAAGGGUACAAAGUUACUGUAUGUGGGCCUUCUUCUCUGUUUCCUAGGAUGAUCCCUCUACAAUGUAUUCUACGGUUACAGACAGAAACACUGGUUUAGGCGACAAGACAACAACACUCAGUGCACCAGAUGAUCCCUCAGUGAUAUACUCCACCAUCGUCCACAUGACAGGAAAAAGG